rnacentral:rRNA from 1 species
AAUGAACGUUGGCGGCAUGGAUUAGGCAUGCAAGUCGCGCGACAAGCCUCUUUUAGCUUGCUAUUUGAGGUGGAGGAGCGGCGAAAGGGUGAGUAACGCGUGGAUCACCUACCCAGGGGUUCGGAAUAGCGGCGGGAAACUGCCGGUAAUGCCGAAUGACGUCUCCGGACCAAAGCUCCGGCGCCCUUGGACGGGUCCGCGUACCAUUAGCUAGUUGGCGGGGUAAAGGCCCACCAAGGCGAAGAUGGUUAGUGGGCGUGAGAGCGUGGCCCACCACACUGGGACUGAGACACUGCCCAGACACCUACGGGAGGCAG